AGAGUUUGAUCCUGGCUCAGAUUGUACGCUGGCGGCAUGCCUUACACAUGCAAGUCGAACGGUAACGCGGGGGCAACCCUGGCGACGAGUGGCGAACGGGUGAGUAAUACAUCGGAACAUAUCCAGUAGCGGGGGAUAACCUAUCGAAAGAUGGACUAAUACCGCAUACGAUCUACGGAUGAAAGCAGGGGACCGCAAGGCCUUGCACUAUUGGAGUGGCCGAUGUCGGAUUAGCUAGUUGGUGGGGUAAAAGCUUACCAAGGCGACGAUCCGUAGCUGGUCUGAGAGGACGAUCAGCCACACUGGAACUGAGACACGGUCCAGACUCCUACGGGAGGCAGCAGUGGGGAAUUUUGGACAAUGGGCGCAAGCCUGAUCCAGCCAUGCGGCGUGAGUGAAGAAGGCCUUCGGGUUGUAAAGCUCUUUCGGUGAAGACGAAACGGUUCAUGCUAAUAACGUGAACUAAUGACGGUACUCACAGAAGAAGCACCGGCUAACUACGUGCCAGCAGCCGCGGUAAUACGUAGGGUGCAGGCGUUAAUCGGAAUUACUGGGCGUAAAGCGUGCGCAGGCGGUUUGCUAAGACAGGUGUGAAAUCCCCGGGCUUAACCUGGGAAUUGCGCUUGUAACUGGCAAGCUAGAGUGUGGCAGAGGGGGUGGAAUUCCACGUGUAGCAGUGAAAUGCGUAGAUAUGUGGAGGAACACCGAUGGCGAAGGCAGCCCCCUGGGUUAACACUGACGCUCAUGCACGAAAGCGUGGGGAGCAAACAGGAUUAGAUACCCUGGUAGUCCACGCCCUAAACUAUGUCAACUAGUUGUCGGGGAAGAAAUUCCUUGGUAACGAAGCUAACGCGUGAAGUUGACCGCCUGGGGAGUACGGCCGCAAGGUUAAAACUCAAAGGAAUUGACGGGGACCCGCACAAGCGGUGGAUUAUGUGGAUUAAUUCGAUGCAACGCGAAAAACCUUACCUACCCUUGACAUGCUAGGAAGCCCGCAGAGAUGUGGGUGUGCCCGAAAGGGAACCUAGACACAGGUGCUGCAUGGCUGUCGUCAGCUCGUGUCGUGAGAUGUUGGGUUAAGUCCCGCAACGAGCGCAACCCUUGCCAUUAGUUGCUACAUUCAGUUGGGCACUCUAAUGGGACCGCCGGUGACAAACCGGAGGAAGGUGGGGAUGACGUCAAGUCCUCAUGGCCCUUAUGGGUAGGGCUUCACACGUAAUACAAUGGUCGGUACAGAGGGCUGCCAACCCGCAAGGGGGAGCUAAUCCCAGAAAGCCGAUCGUAGUCCGGAUUGUAGUCUGCAACUCGACUGCAUGAAGCCGGAAUCGCUAGUAAUCGCGGAUCAGCAUGUCGCGGUGAAUACGUUCCCGGGUCUUGUACACACCGCCCGUCACACCAUGGGAGUGGGUUCCACCAGAAGUAGUUAGCCUAACCGCAAGGAGGGCGAUUACCACGGCGAGAUUCAUGACUGGGGUGAAGUCGUAACAAGGUA
rnacentral:rRNA from 1 species